rnacentral:rRNA from 1 species
UACGAAGGGUGCAAGCGUUACUCGGAAUUACUGGGCGUAAAGCGUGCGCAGGCGGCUUUGCAAGACAGAUGUGAAAUCCCCGGGCUUAACCUGGGAACUGCACUUGUGACUGCACAGCUGGAGUGCGGCAGAGGGGGAUGGAAUUCCGCGUGUAGCAGUGAAAUGCGUAGAUAUGCGGAGGAACACCGAUGGCGAAGGCAAUCCCCUGGGCCUGCACUGACGCUCAUGCACGAAAGCGUGGGGAGCAAACAGG